rnacentral:rRNA from 1 species
UACGGAGGGGGCGAGCGUUAUUCGGAAUUAUUGGGCGUAAAGGGCGCGUAGGCGGCCCUGUAAGUCAAAGGUGAAAUCCCCGGGCUCAACCUGGGAACUGCAUUUGUGACUGCAUGGCUGGAGUGCGGCAGAGGGGGGUGGAAUUCCGCGUGUAGCAGUGAAAUGCGUAGAUAUGCGGAGGAACACCGAUGGCGAAGGCAAUCCCCUGGGCCUGCACUGACGCUCAUGCACGAAAGCGUGGGGAGCAAACAGG